CUUUUUGACCUUUCCUUAAAACCUUUGGUUCAACGUUCUCCGACCUCUCUGAUCUUCAUCUGAGAUUCACGGCUCUUGAGCAGUGCUUUACCGACACAAUUCAUUGACCUUCAGCAUCCAGCCAGCCCUGCAUUGACCUUCGGCGUCCAGCCCUGCAUUGACCUUCGGCGUC